CCUACGGGAGGCAGCAGUGGGGAAUAUUGGACAAUGGGGGGAACCCUGAUCCAGCGACGCCGCGUGAGUGAAGAAGUAUUUCGGUAUGUAAAGCUCUAUCAGCAGGGAAGAAAGAAAUGACGGUACCUGACUAAGAAGCCCCGGCUAACUACGUGCCAGCAGCCGCGGGAAUACGUAGGGGGCAAGCGUUAGCCGGAUUUACUGGGUGUAAAGGGAGCGUAGACGGCGAUGCAAGUCUGAAGUGAAAGGCGGGGGCCCAACCCCCGGACUGCCUUGGAAACUGUAUGGCUGGAGUGCAGGAGAGGUAAGUGGAAUUCCUAGUGUAGCGGUGAAAUGCGUAGAUAUUAGGAGGAACACCAGUGGCGAAGGCGGCUUACUGGACUGUAACUGACGUUGAGGCACGAAAGCGUGGGGAGCAAACAGGAUUAGAUACCCGAGUAGUC
rnacentral:rRNA from 1 species